AUUGAACGCUGGCGGCAGGCCUAACACAUGCAAGUCGAGCGAGUGGCGGACGGGUGAGUAAUGUCUGGGAAACUGCCCGAUGGAGGGGGAUAACUACUGGAAACGGUAGCUAAUACCGCAUACCAUCUGAUUUUCCCAUAUGGGAUUAGCUGGUAGGUGGUGUAACGGCUCACCUCGGCGCCGAUCCCUAGCUGGUCUGAGGGGAUGACCAGCCAAACUGGAACUGAGACAGGGGCCAGACUCCUACGGGAGUAAGCAGAGGGAAAUAUUGCACAAGGGGCGCAAGCCUGAUGCAGCCAGGCCGCGUGUGUGAAGAAGGCCUUCGGGUGGUAAAGUACUUUCAGCGGGGAGGCGUUACCCGCAGAAGAAGCACCGGCUAACUCCGUGCCAGCAGCCGCGGUAAUUC
rnacentral:rRNA from 1 species